rnacentral:rRNA from 1 species
CCUUAUACAUGCAAGUCGAGCGGACAGAAGGGAGCUUGCUCCCGGAUGUUAGCGGCGGACGGGUGAGUAACACGUGGGUAACCUGCCUGUAAGACUGGGAUAACUCCGGGAAACCGGAGCUAAUACCGGAUAGUUCCUUGAACCGCAUGGUUCAAGGAUGAAAGACGGUUUCGGCUGUCACUUGCAGAUGGACCCGCGGCGCAUUAGCUAGUUGGUGGGGUAAUGGCUCACCAAGGCGACGAUGCGUAGCCGACCUGAGAGGGUGAUCGGCCACACUGGGACUGAGACACGGCCCAGACUCCUACGGGAGGCAGCAGUAGGGAAUCUUCCGCAAUGGACGAAAGUCUGACGGAGCAACGCCGCGUGAGUGAUGAAGGUUUUCGGAUCGUAAAGCUCUGUUGUUAGGGAAGAACAAGUGCGAGAGUAACUGCUCGCACCUUGACGGUACCUAACCAGAAAGCCACGGCUAACUACGUGCCAGCAGCCGCGGUAAUACGUAGGUGGCAAGCGUUGUCCGGAAUUAUUGGGCGUAAAGGGCUCGCAGGCGGUUUCUUAAGUCUGAUGUGAAAGCCCCCGGCUCAACCGGGGAGGGUCAUUGGAAACUGGGAAACUUGAGUGCAGAAGAGGAGAGUGGAAUUCCACGUGUAGCGGUGAAAUGCGUAGAGAUGUGGAGGAACACCAGUGGCGAAGGCGACUCUCUGGUCUGUAACUGACGCUGAGGAGCGAAAGCGUGGGGAGCGAACAGGAUUAGAUACCCUGGUAGUCCACGCCGUAAACGAUGAGUGCUAAGUGUUAGGGGGUUUCCGCCCCUUAGUGCUGCAGCUAACGCAUUAAGCACUCCGCCUGGGGAGUACGGUCGCAAGACUGAAACUCAAAGGAAUUGACGGGGGCCCGCACAAGCGGUGGAGCAUGUGGUUUAAUUCGAAGCAACGCGAAGAACCUUACCAGGUCUUGACAUCCUCUGACAACCCUAGAGAUAGGGCUUUCCCUUCGGGGACAGAAUGACAGGUGGUGCAUGGUUGUCGUCACCUCGUGUCGUGAGAUGUUGGGUUAAAUCCCGCACCAACCCCACCCUUGAUCUUAUUUCCAGCA